rnacentral:lncRNA from 1 species
CACGACAAAAUCCAAACUUUCUUUCCAAUAGAAGGAAUAACACAUAAAUACAUAUAAAACAUGUAUUUUCGGAUUUUCUCGAAAUUCGUGCAUCAAACUCAAAAUCCGUCAGCGCCAGAAGUUCCAGAAUAGCUGAACCGGUCGAAACGAGCUAUUGGACUGAUAUGAACGGAGUCCGAUACGCACCAGAGCCAACUCUACUCCGUGGCUUCUCCGGAAAACCGGAGUUACUAUUCACUUAAGUGAAAACUAAAAAUCGCGUAUCUUCUCCAUUUUAGCUCAGUUUCUCCUGUAACUUGACGAGUGCUUAUGUAAUUAGAUUACACAUAUAAACAUCAUCAACCGAGAGUUUAGUUGCACAGUCAAAAAUCUCAGUCCUUACAAGAGAACACAGGUUAGAGAGAGAGCAUAAUUAAAGAAAUAGAAAGAGAAAUAGAGUCGAGAUUAUAGGGAGUGGGAGAGUUGAGAUUAUAGAAAAAGAGGGGGAGAGAGAGCUUAGUUUAGAGAGAGAAAAAAAAUAAAAGUUUAGAGACAAAAAGAUAAGUUUAGAGAGAGAUUCGAGAUUAGAGUGUAAAGAAAAAUAAUACCAACUAGCCGGCGGGUAGGAAGAAAGAAAGAGAUUGGACAUAUUAUGAUUACCCUAAUCCAUUAAUAUGAAAAUAUCCAUCCUCCCUCAAGGGAAUGAGAUUGUACUUUGGGAUGAAUCUCUUUCCCAAGUAAAUCCAAUAUUACCAACUAGAUUACUUAGUGCGUUUAGUCAAACACCGUCAUAUUUUUUUUAUUUCUAUUGGAUUAUUAGAAAUUUUAAAAAGAUAGCGCGAACCAAACGCACCCUAAUAAGA